UUAAAACGAAUUAAUAACCCAUUAAAUUGAAAAUCAAUUUUAAAUCGCCCAUCGUUCAUCUUUAUUAACCUUACCUGCCUAUGAUUGAAGAAGAUAAGAGGGUUGGAGCUUGCCCUUCGCCGGCCAACAACAUCAGCCACCACCGAGCCACCAUCACCACUGAACAACAUCAGCCAUGACCAUUCAUCUUCAACUGGUAAAACACAAUAUUUAAAAAGAACAUACUCGUGCUUUUUCCCUUUAUAUGGCGAUCGAUUGAAGGUGAAGGUAAAAAUCUCACCUCCAGUCUCCAGGCCUCCAACCGACACUCCUAAAAUCGAAAAUUCAAAAUUAUUCUGUGGUUCUUCAAUAUUCAUCGUCAUCGUCGCAUACAGAGACUUACACCCGAAGACACUUUUCUUAACCUUGUCGACGAUCACAUGAACAUCGACUUCUACUCACUGAUGCUAGCAAGCAGCGACACACCACCGGUCUUCCACUCCGGCGCAGCAGGGUAGUGACGACCGAUUUGUUCAUCAGGGGAUAUGAAUGCAAACAGUCGAAGAUAUUGCUCCAACUUCAAGUAGUCAAGAAGUGGGAGGUUCAUGUUCUAAUUAAGUAAAUACAUUUGAUGAAGAUGGAGAUGAAGUGGUCGGUUCAAAAGCGGGACAACAAGUUUGGAUGAUUUUGUUUGAUCCAAACAUGUUAUUUGAGUUUCAUUGUUGUGGUGCUAUAACGACAGAAGAUGAUUGAAUGAUCUAUUGAGACGGAGAUGGUGAUGAAUUAUUCUUGAAGAAUGUUAUGAUGAAAGGCAUCAAGGUUAUAGAGAUAGAUGGAAGGGGGGCAUGAUAAUCAAGGUCCUUACGUCUGCAUGAAAAUGUGUGGGAUGAAGAUGAAGAAUGGUCACUGAUCUUCCAAAAAGAAAGCAAUGUUCAUAGUUUUUUUAAAGAGAAAUUUAUGUUCAUAAUUGUAUUAUUAAGAAUGAAUGAAACUUAUUCUAAACAAUUAAAAUUCAUGUCAUAUAAAAUUUGUAUUCAUUAAAAAUUAUUUAUCUUGAUAAUAUAUGUUUAUAUUA